AAAGUCGUAACAAGGUUUCCGUAGGUGAACCUGCGGAAGGAUCAUUACCUAGAGUUUGUGGGCUUUGCCUGCUAUCUCUUACCCAUGUCUUUUGAGUACUUACGUUUCCUCGGUGGGCUCGCCCGCCGAUUGGACAAAAUUAAACCCUUGCAGUUGCCAUCAGCGUCUGAAAAACAUAAUAGUUACAACUUUCAACAACGGAUCUCUUGGUUCUG
rnacentral:misc_RNA from 1 species